AUUGAACGCUGGCGGCAGGCCUAACACAUGCAAGUCGAACGAGUGGCGGACGGGUGAGUAAUGUCUGGGAAACUGCCUGAUGGAGGGGGAUAACUACUGGAAACGGUAGCUAAUACCGCAUACCAUCGGAUGUGCCCAGAUGGGAUUAGCUAGUAGGUGGGGUAACGGCUCACCUAGGCGACGAUCCCUAGCUGGUCUGAGAGGAUGACCAGCAACACUGGAACGGAGAAAAGGGCCAGAAUCCUACGGGAGGCAGCAGUGGGGAAUAGUGCAAAAUGGGUGAAAGCCUGAUGGAGCCAUGCCGCGUGGAUGAAGAAGGCCUUCGGGUUGGAAAGUACUUUCAGCGGGGAGGCGUUCCCUGUAGAAGAAGAACCGGCUAACUCCGUGCCAGCCGGCGAGGUAAUAC
rnacentral:rRNA from 1 species